AUAUUAAUAAGCGGAGGAAAAGAAACUAACCAGGAUUCCCUCAGUAAGGGCGACUGAAGCGGGAAUAGCCCAUACGAAAUCUGCGCGCAAGCGCCGAAUUGUGGUCUGGAGACGCUUGUGUUACUGGCUGGGCCAAGUCCCUUGGAACGGGGCAGCUGAGAGGGUGAGACUCCCGUGUGCCUGGCUGGGUGAGCGAGUAGUCAACGAGUCGAGUUGUUUGGGAUUGCAGCUCUAAGUGGGUGGUAAAUUCCAUCUAAGGCUAAAUACUGGUGGGAGACCGAUAGCGCACAAGUA
rnacentral:rRNA from 1 species